UGGAGUUGUAGCUCACUGGCAGAGUGCUUGUCCCUCCCGCGGGAGGCCCUGGGUUCGAUUCUCAGCACUAUAU
rnacentral:tRNA from 1 species